AGACCAAAAAAAAAAAAAAAAAAAAGAUGCAGCCGGUGUCAUUGCUGAGAUACGGGUUUAGCUGUAGGCCCAGGAACUUCAGCAUGAUCUGGGGGGCGGGGAAAGCAGCUGUAACUGCUGGAAGUUCUGAAGUUUCCGGAUUCAACCGCGCCCGCAACCGCGCCCGCCAACUUCGUGCCACGCCAUAGAGCAUCCGCGUGCCCAUCCGCGCUCUGAUUUCACCUAAACCCUUCUCAACACUCGGCUUUCCGUAGGAGUGAGCUGCGGGGCUCCAAUGCUGCAGUUGGCCUGUCUCUCUCUAAACGACCUCAGACACUUUCAAAAGAUCCAAAUCAGAGAAGGAGAGCCUUCCAGAAGGAAGAGGAGUAGCCGGGAAUCUCACAUGGGCGGACCCGAACUGCCUCAGCGCGCCGCAGUCUACUCCAGGCCAUGGUGCCGACUCCACCCGCUCGAAGGUCCGAGCCGGGUCUCUCGGUGGCCCCGCUCCACCCCGCCUCGCCCCCGCCGCGCACGCGCACUUCCCUGCAGACCCGGAAGCGAUUCGGGUGGGAAGACCGGUGCCCUCGGGAGAGGUUGGUUCUUAGCUGCCUGAGCUCUGCGAGCUUCAGGUCCCACGUCUCCACGCUCGGGUGCUGGAGGUCUCCCGGGACUGUUUACCUUCGAGGAUGUGGGCCUGCCUGGACCCUGCUCAGAGGGCCUUGUACAGGGACGUGAUGCUGGAGACCUACGGGAACCUGCUCUCCGUGGGGAGCAUCGCUUCCCUCCGGAAGUGGGCAGCAUGAGGCCCUUCGUGUGGUCGCAGGUGGCAAGACGUCCUUCUCUGUGAUGGCGGAAGACCAGCACGUGGUCCACAAUCCAGCGCGGCUUUAGCCACUUAGAGACAGUUUUAGUUCCUUUGUGUAAAUACCACGUGGUGUGACUGCUAGAUCGCAUUGGCUCGUUUUGCUGAAACAGCAGCCCCUUCGUGAGUGCCUGCCGGUCUGGCCGCAACACCCACGGUGAGUGAAGGUCGCUGUCGUCCCCGCAUCAUUUCUGACCCGGGGUGUUCUCAGGGUUCCGGGGUUGGGCCGUGAGAGCGGGGCUUUAGUUGCCUAACACUCAUUUUAACACAGUUUCCUCAAAGCUCUGGCAGUUUUUAAAGAGAAUUUUUGUUGUUUUCAGAACAUACUUUUUCGUAGUGUUACUGUCUCAGUCACAGAA